rnacentral:lncRNA from 1 species
CCUCUUCUUCUUACUCUUCUUCCACCUCUUCCUUUUCUUCCCCUUCUUAGGGAAGAUUGUCCUUUAAAACAAUCUUAGUGGGAUCUACCUCCUUAUGUUGGCCAUCUUCACAUAAGAGAAUUUUUGGAGCAUCUAAUUCCACAUCAUCGAAUGAUUGAUGAACUCCUAUUGUCUUAUCUUUUUGAAAGGAUUUUAGUAAUUGGGG